GACUGAAUCAUAUAUAUCCAAUCAAACACAUAGAAAAAAUACAUUAUUAUUAUUAUCUAGCACAUUUUGCUUGAACCUAAUAUUUGAAUUAACAUACAAAAAUGAGUACAAUUAGAAAUAAUGAUAUGGGUUAUUCUGAUCCUCCUCCUAAUGCAAAUAAUUCGAGAAAUACAAAUCCUCCUAUCUCAAACCAAGGCAAAAGUUUGGGCUAUUCCAGUCCUCCUCCUAAUGCAAACAAUGGUUCUCAAAGAAGUCAGACAAUAAGGGCUCAAAAUCAGUCUUAUAGCAACACUUGAUAUGGCCAAGAGGUCCUUUGGCGUGUGGAAAUUUCAUAUGGGAAGAAAAUUUACAGCAGCAAAUAAUCUUGUUUGUUAAAGAAUCAUCGUUUGUUUAUAAUUGUUGUAUUGUGAUAUUAAUUCAGCUUGUUAUAGUUAGUUUGUUACUAAGAGUUUGUUUUCUAUUUUCAGUUAGUUGCAACUGUUAUGUGUGUUUAAAUAGAACUCAAUGUAUUGAUCAAAGUGUGUAUUUCAAUAUUCGUCCAUUCGAUAAAUAGAACUCAAUGUAUUGAUCAAA